GCCGUAGGGUGCGAGCGUUGUCCGGAUUUAUUGGGCGUAAAGAGCUCGUAGGCGGCUCGUCGCGUCGACCGUGAAAACCCGCGGCUUAACUGCGGGCUUGCGGUUGAUACGGGCGGGCUGGAGUUCGGUAGGGGAGACUGGAAUUCCUGGUGUAGCGGUGAAAUGCGCAGAUAUCAGGAGGAACACCGGUGGCGAAGGCGGGUCUCUGGGCCGAUACUGACGCUGAGGAGCGAAAGCGUGGGGAGCGAACAGG
rnacentral:rRNA from 1 species